rnacentral:tRNA from 1 species
CCGCCGUGGCCGAAGCCAGGGCCGAGGGCCGGCGGAGGGCCCAGGGCCGGCGGACCGUGCCGGUCCGUCGCGGUUCUGCCGCCGAGGUGGCCGA